rnacentral:rRNA from 1 species
UGAGGAAUAUUGGUCAAUGGACGAGAGUCUGAACCAGCCAAGUAGCGUGCAGGAUGACGGCCCUAUGGGUUGUAAACUGCUUUUAUAUGGGGAUAAAGUGGGGAACGUGUUCCCUUUUGCAGGUACCAUAUGAAUAAGGACCGGCUAAUUCCGUGCCAGCAGCCGCGGUAAUACGGAAGGUUCGGGCGUUAUCCGGAUUUACUGGGCGUAAAGGGUGCGUAGGUGGUCUUUCAAGUCGGUGGUUAAAGGCUACGGCUCAACCGUAGUUAGCCUCCGAAACUGGAAGACUUGAGUGCAGGAGAGGAAAGUGGAAUUCCCAGUGUAGCGGUGAAAUGCGUAGAUAUUGGGAGGAACACCAGUAGCGAAGGCGGCUUUCUGGACUGCAACUGACACUGAGGCACGAAAGCGUGGGUAGCAAACAGG